UCCCAGGGUUAAAACACUCUUUGUGCUA
rnacentral:piRNA from 1 species